rnacentral:tRNA from 1 species
GGCUUCGUGGUGCAGUGGUCAGCACACUCCACGCGUAACCGAGAGGUCCGUGGUUCGAUUCCCGGCGAAGGCG